rnacentral:lncRNA from 1 species
CCGAGAUCGUACCAUUGCACUCCAGCCUGGGUGACAGAAUGGAAUGAGACUCUGUCUCAAAAAAAAAAAAAAAAAGAAGCCCUAGAUUUCGGUUGUAUUGGUUGUAAAAGGAGAGACCAACUAAGUGGGGGUUGAAGUCAGAUUAGACCAAAAGUGAAUGGCAGAGAGUGCCAUAAUGUCCAUGAAGGGUUGCUAGAGUCACCGCGAUCAUAGCCCAAGCAGAGACAGAGAAAGGAAGAUGUGAGCAGAGUUUGGGGCCUCAAACAAUGGAGGUUAUUCGUGCAGCCCAGGAAAGGCUCCCCAAAGCCAGGAUCAACCUCCCUUGCAGGCGGUCCCCCUCAUGGAGGCAUGGCCAGGCACCUUAGAUUUGAGACCAGCUGCGUUGCUGCUGACCAGCUGUGUGACCCUGGGCUGGUUUCCUUCCAUACAAUGGGAGAGCCAACGGCUGCAUGCAUGCAAAGACCGUCUGAGGAUAGGAGGAAGCAAUCUGUUGAGCACCCGUGUACCUGAGUGUCAUCACCUCCCAAGGGCAUCCUUCGUUCCAG